rnacentral:tRNA from 1 species
GGCGACAGGUAGGCCAGUCCGGCGCGGUUCUCCCGCUGGCGGCGGGUGAGCGGCCGGGCCGGCCGGCGGCGCUGUUCGGGCGCCGCCGGCCGCUU